rnacentral:rRNA from 1 species
UGGAUCCAGACUUUGAUUAUGGCUCAGGACGAACGCUGGCGGCGCGCCUAACACAUGCAAGUCGAACGAGAAAUGAAGAGCUUGCUCUUCAAAUCGAGUGGCGAACGGGUGAGUAACGCGUGAGGAACCUGCCUUUCAGAGGGGGACAACAGUUGGAAACGACUGCUAAUACCGCAUGACACAUAGAGAUCGCAUGGUUUUUAUGUCAAAGAUUUAUCGCUGAAAGAUGGCCUCGCGUCUGAUUAGCUAGUUGGUGAGGUAACGGCCCACCAAGGCGACGAUCAGUAGCCGGACUGAGAGGUUGACCGGCCACAUUGGGACUGAGAUACGGCCCAGACUCCUACGGGAGGCAGCAGUGGGGAAUAUUGGGCAAUGGGCGCAAGCCUGACCCAGCAACGCCGCGUGAAGGAAGAAGGCUUUCGGGUUGUAAACUUCUUUUGUCGGGGACGAGUAGAAGACGGUACCUGGCGAAUAAGCCACGGCUAACUACGUGCCAGCAGCCGCGGUAAUACGUAGGUGGCAAGCGUUGUCCGGAUUUACUGGGUGUAAAGGGCGUGUAGCCGGGAAGGCAAGUCAGAUGUGAAAUCCACGGGCUUAACUCGUGAACUGCAUUUGAAACUGUUUUUCUUGAGUAUCGGAGAGGCAAUCGGAAUUCCUAGUGUAGCGGUGAAAUGCGUAGAUAUUAGGAGGAACACCAGUGGCGAAGGCGGAUUGCUGGACGACAACUGAC